UAGGGAAUCUUCGGCAAUGGGGGGAACCCUGACCGAGCAACGCCGCGUGAGUGAAGAAGGUUUUCGGAUCGUAAAGCUCUGUUGUUAAGGAAGAACGAGUGUGAGAAUGGAAAGUUCAUGCUGUGACGGUACUUAACCAGAAAGGGACGGCUAACUACGUGCCAGCAGCCGCGGUAAUACGUAGGUCCCGAGCGUUGUCCGGAUUUAUUGGGCGUAAGGCGAGCGCAGGCGGUUAGAAAAGUCUGAAGUGAAAGGCAGUGGCUCAACCAUUGUAGGCUUUGGAAACUGUUUAACUUGAGUGCAGAAGGGGAGAGUGGAAUUCCAUGUGUAGCGGUGAAAUGCGUAGAUAUAUGGAGGAACACCGGUGGCGAAAGCGGCUCUCUGGUCUGUAACUGACGCUGAGGCUCGAAAGCGUGGGGAGCGAACAGG
rnacentral:rRNA from 1 species